UGGGGAAUAUUGGACAAUGGGCGGAAGCCUGAUCCAGCCAUGCCGCGUGAGUGACGAAGGCCUUAGGGUUGUAAAGCUCUUUCAGUGGUGAAGAUGAUGACGGUAACCACAGAAGAAGCCCCGGCUAACUCCGUGCCAGCAGCCGCGGUAAGACGGAGGGGGCUAGCGUUGUUCGGAAUUACUGGGCGUAAAGGGCAUGUAGGCGGAUCGGUCAGUCAGGCGUGAAAGCCCCGGGCUCAACCUGGGAACUGCGCUUGAUACUGCCAAUCUUGAGUCCGGGAGAGGAUAGUGGAAUUCCCAGUGUAGAGGUGAAAUUCGUAGAUAUUGGGAAGAACACCAGUGGCGAAGGCGGCUAUCUGGACCGGUACUGACGCUAAGGUGCGAAAGCGUGGGGAGCAAACAGGAUUAGAUACCCCGGUAGUCC
rnacentral:rRNA from 1 species